rnacentral:rRNA from 1 species
AGGAUGCCCUUAGUAACGGCGAGCGAACCGGGCAAAGCCCAACUUGAAAAUCUCCAGCCUCCGGCUGGCGAAUUGUAGUCUAGAGAAGUGCUCUCUGCGCCAGUCCGGCCCCAAGUCCCCUGGAAAGGGGCGUCAGAGAGGGUGAGAACCCCGUUGGGACCGGAUCCUGGUGCUCCACGAGACGCUUUCGCAGAGUCGGGUUGUUUGGGAAUGCAGCCCAAAGCAGGUGGUAAAUCCCAUCUAAGGCUAAAUACAGACGGGAGACCGAUAGCGAACAAGUACCGCGAGGGAAAGAUGAAAAGAACUUUGAAAAGAGAGUUAAAAAGUGCUUGAAAUUGUUGAGAGGGAAGUGAUUGGAUCCUACGGGUGCGCCCAGGCACACGCCUGCCUAACGGUUGGCUGAAUGCGCUGGGUGCUGGUCAGCAUGGGUUGGCCGGGCGGGACAAACCCGGGGAUUGCUACCCCGGCUAUGUCGCCUGGCCGACUGAGGAAAGAAGGGCGCUCU